rnacentral:rRNA from 1 species
CAAUAGCGUAUAUUAAAGUUGUUGCAGUUAAAAAGCUCGUAGUUGAAACUUGGGCCUGGCUGGCGGGUCCGCCUCACCGCGUGCACUCGUCCGGCCGGGCCUUCCUUCUGAAGAACCUCAUGCCCUUCACUGGGCGUGCUGGGGAAUCAGGACUUUUACUUUGAAAAAAUUAGAGUGUUCAAAGCAGGCCUUUGCUCGAAUACGUUAGCAUGGAAUAAUAAAAUAGGGCGUGCGUUUCUAUUUUGUUGGUUUCUAGAGACGCCGCAAUGAUUAACAGGAACAGUCGGGGGCAUCAGUAUUCAGUUGUCAGAGGUGAAAUUCUUGGAUUUACUGAAGACUAACUACUGCGAAANCANNNGCCAUGGAUGUUUUCAUNAA